AUUGAACGCUGGCGGCAGGCCUAACACAUGCAAGUCGAACGGAGCGGCGGACGGGUGAGUAAUGCCUAGGAAUCUGCCUGGUCGUGGGGGAUGGGGUCCGGAAACGGGCGCUAAUACCACAUACUAUCAGCAGAGCCUAGGUCGGAUUAGCUAGUUGGUGGGGUAAGGGCCUACCAAGGCGACGAUCCGUAACUGGUCUGAGAGGAUGAUCAGUCACACUGGAACUGAGACACGGUCCAGACUCCUACGGGAGGCAGCAGUGGGGAAUAUUGGACAAUGGGCGAAAGCCUGAUCCAGCCAGGCCGCGUGUGUGAAGAAGGUCUUCGGAUUGUAAAGCACUUUAAGUUGGGAGGCGUUACCAACAGAAGAAGCACCGGCUAACUUCGUGCCAGCAGCCGCGGUAAUUC
rnacentral:rRNA from 1 species